rnacentral:rRNA from 1 species
UUUUAGAAAUUAAUUUAAAGUCUAACCUGCCCACUGAAAUUUUAAAUGGCCGCAGUAUCCUAACUGUGCAAAGGUAGCAUAAUCAUUAGUCUUUUAAUUGAAGGCUGGAAUGAAUGGUUGAAUGAAAUAUUAACUGUUUCAUAAAAAUUUAUAAUAGAAUUUUAUUUUUUAGUCAAAAAGCUAAAAUAUUAUUAAAAGACGAGAAGACCCUAUAAAUCUUUAUAUUAAUAUAUUUUUAAUUAUUUAGAUAAAUUAAAUUAUAAAUAAAAUUAAUAUUUUAUUGGGGUGAUAUUAAAAUUUAAUAAACUUUUAAUUAUAAAUUAACAUAAAUUAAUGAAUUAUUGAUCCAUAAAUAAUGAUUAAAAAUUUAAGUUACUUUAGGGAUAACAGCGUAAUUUUUUUAGAGAGUUCAUAUUGAUAAAAA